AAUGAUUAUAUGCUUCAUUAUAUAAAAUAUUUACCGAAAACUCAAUAUUUUCGUAGGGGUUACCACAUAGAUUUUGAGAAAAUUUAAAAAAAUAUGAAAAUAUUUUUUUAAUGCAUAGUUGUAUCCUGCACUAACAUAUGAUGAUGUUCAAAGAGGUUUGGAGCCAUUGUUGUCUCAUUUUUUCAAGAAAAUAGCAAUUUUGUAGUGGUUAUCCCACCGAUUUAGGCAGUAUUAUGAAGUUUUACUAAAUUAAUUGAUAAAAAACUUAUAAUGAUUCCCAUAUACCAUGAAAGAGAAGAGUUUAUAAUAAAUUAAUACAAAUGUAGAAUGUGGUUAAAAAUUUUAAACAACAUUAAUAAUUAUAUGCUUCAGUAUAUAAAAUAUUUACCGAAAACUCAAUAUUUUGGUAGGGGUUAACACAUAGAUUUUGAGAAAAUUUUUAAAAACAUGAAAAUUUAAAAAAAUAUAAAAAAUUUCAAAAAUAUGAAAAUCUUGUUUUAAUUCAUAGUUGGAUUCUGCAUUAAUAUUUGAUGAUGUUCAAAGAGGUAUGGAGCCAUUGUUGUCUCAUUUUUUCAAGAAAAUAGCAAUUUUGUAGUGGUUAUCCCACCGAUUUAGGCAGUAUUAUAAAGUUUUACUAAAUUAAUUGAUAAAAAACUUAUAAUGAUUCCCAUAUACCAUGAAAGAGAGUUAUCAUACAUUAAUACAAAUGUAGACUGUGGAGAAAAAAAUUUAAACAACACUAAUGAUUAUAUGAUUCAGUAUAUAAAACAUUUACCGAAAACUCAAUAUUUUCGUAGGGGUUACCACAUAGAUUUUGAGAAAAUUUAAAAAAAUAUGAAAAUAUUUUUUUAAUGCAUAGUUGUAUCCUGCACUAACAUAUGAUGAUGUUCAAAGAGGUUUGGAGCAUUUGUUGUGUCCAUUUUUCAAGAAAAUAGCAAUUUUGUAAUGGUUAUUCCACUGAUUUAGGCAGUAUUAUGAGUUUUUACUAAAUUAAUUGAUAAAAAGAUAUAACGAUUCCCAUAUACCGUGAAAGAGAGUUUAUAAUAAAUUAAUACAAAUGUAGAAUGUGGUUAAAAAUUUUAAACAACAUUAAUAAUUAUAUGCUUCAGUAUAUAAAAUAUUUACCGAAAACUCAAUAUUUUGGUAGGGGUUAACACAUAGAUUUUGAGAAAAUUU